rnacentral:rRNA from 2 species
AAAAUGGAGAGUUUGAUCCUGGCUCAGGAUGAACGCUGGCGGUAUGCUUAACACAUGCAAGUCGAACGGUCUUUUCGGAGACAGUGGCGGACGGGUGAGUAACGCGUAAGAA